CAACCUCAACUCAUAUGGGACUACCCCCUGAAUUUAAGCAUAUUAAUUAGGGGAGGAAAAGAAACUAACAAGGAUUUUCUUAGUAGCGGCGAGCGAAAAGAAAACAGUUCAGCACUAAGUCACUUUGUCUAUAUGGCAAAUGUGAGAUGCAGUGUAUGGAGCGUCAAUAUUCUAGUAUGAGAAAUUAAUGAUUUAAGUCCUUCUUAAAUGAGGCCAUUUACCCAUAGAGGGUGCCAGGCCCGUAUAACGUUAAUGAUUACUAGAUGAUGUUUCCAAAGAGUCGUGUUGCUUGAUAGUGCAGCACUAAGUGGGUGGUAAACUCCAUCUAAAACUAAAUAUAACCAUGAGACCGAUAGUAAACAAGUACCGUGAGGGAAAGUUGAAAAGAACUCUGAAUAGAGAGUUAAACAGUACGUGAAACUGCUUAGAGGUUAAGCCCGAUGAACCUGAAUAUCCGUUAUGGAAAAUUCAUCAUUAAAAUUGUAAUAUUUAAAUAAUAUUAUUAAGAAUAAUGUGCAUUUUUUCCAUAUAAGGACAUUGUAAUCUAUUAGCAUAUCCCAAAUUUAUCAUAAAAUAUAACUUAUAGUUUAUUCCAAUUAAAUUGCUUGCAUUUUAACACAGAAUAAAUGUUAUUAAUUUGAUAAAGUGCUGAUAGAUUUAUAUUAUUACAGAGCGUUAAUUUUUCGGAAUUAUAUAAUGGCAUAAUUAUCAUUGAUUUUUUGUUUAUUAUAUGCUCUUGUAUGAUUAACAAUGCGAAAGAUUCAGGAUACCUUCGGGACCCGUCUUGAAACACGGACCAAGGAGUCUAACAUAUGUGCAAGUUAUUGGGAUGUAAACCUAAUAGCGUAAUUAACUUGACUAAUAAUGGGAUUAGUUUUUUAGCUAUUUAUAGCUAAUUAACACAAUCCCGGGGCGUUCUAUAUAGUUAUGUAUAAUGUAUAUUUAUAUUAUUUAUGCCUCUAACUGGAACGUACCUUGAGCAUAUAUGCUGUGACCCGAAAGAUGGUGAACUAUACUUGAUCAGGUUGAAGUCAGGGGAAACCCUGAUGGAAGACCGAAACAGUUCUGACGUGCAAAUCGAUUGUCAGAAUUGAGUAUAGGGGCGAAAGACCAAUCGAACCAUCUAGUAGCUGGUUCCUUCCGAAGUUUCCCUCAGGAUAGCUGGUGCAUUUUAAUAUUAUAUAAAAUAAUCUUAUCUGGUAAAGCGAAUGAUUAGAGGCCUUAGGGUCGAAACGAUCUUAACCUAUUCUCAAACUUUAAAUGGGUAAGAACCUUAACUUUCUUGAUAUGAAGUUCAAGGUUAUGAUAUAAUGUGCCCAGUGGGCCACUUUUGGUAAGCAGAACUGGCGCUGUGGGAUGAACCAAACGUAAUGUUACGGUGCCCAAAUUAACAACUCAUGCAGAUACCAUGAAAGGCGUUGGUUGCUUAAAACAGCAGGACGGUGAUCAUGGAAGUCGAAAUCCGCUAAGGAGUGUGUAACAACUCACCUGCCGAAGCAACUAGCCCUUAAAAUGGAUGGCGCUUAAGUUGUAUACCUAUACAUUACCGCUAAAGUAGAUGAUUUAUAUUACUUGUGAUAUAAAUUUUGAAACUUUAGUGAGUAGGAAGGUACAAUGGUAUGCGUAGAAGUGUUUGGCGUAAGCCUGCAUGGAGCUGCCAUUGGUACAGAUCUUGGUGGUAGUAGCAAAUAAUCGAAUGAGACCUUGGAGGACUGAAGUGGAGAAGGGUUUCGUGUGAACAGUGGUUGAUCACGAGUUAGUCGGUCCUAAGUUCAAGGCGAAAGCCGAAAAUUUUCAAGUAAAACAAAAAUGCCUAACUAUAUAAACAAAGCGAAUAUAAUACACUUGAAUAAUUUUGAACGAAAGGGAAUACGGUUCCAAUUCCGUAACCUGUUGAGUAUCCGUUUGUUAUUAAAUAUGGGCCUCGUGCUCAUCCUGGCAACAGGAACGACCAUAAAGAAGCCGUCGAGAGAUAUCGGAAGAGUUUUCUUUUCUGUUUUAUAGCCGUACUACCAUGGAAGUCUUUCGCAGAGAGAUAUGGUAGAUGGGCUAGAAGAGCAUGACAUAUACUGUUGUGUCGAUAUUUUCUCCUCGGACCUUGAAAAUUUAUGGUGGGGACACGCAAACUUCUCAACAGGCCGUACCAAUAUCCGCAGCUGGUCUCCAAGGUGAAGAGUCUCUAGUCGAUAGAAUAAUGUAGGUAAGGGAAGUCGGCAAAUUAGAUCCGUAACUUCGGGAUAAGGAUUGGCUCUGAAGAUUGAGAUAGUCGGGCUUGAUUGGGAAACAAUAACAUGGUUUAUGUGCUCGUUCUGGGUAAAUAGAGUUUCUAGCAUUUAUGUUAGUUACUUGUUCCCCGGAUAGUUUAGUUACGUAGCCAAUUGUGGAACUUUCUUGCUAAAAUUUUUAAGAAUACUAUUUGGGUUAAACCAAUUAGUUCUUAUCAAUUAUAACGAUUAUCAAUUAACAAUCAAUUCAGAACUGGCACGGACUUGGGGAAUCC